rnacentral:rRNA from 1 species
UACGUAGGGUGCAAGCGUUAAUCGGAAUUACUGGGCGUAAAGCGUGCGCAGGCGGUUUGGUAAGACAGAUGUGAAAUCCCCGGGCUUAACCUGGGAAUUGCAUUUGUGACUGCCCGGCUAGAAUCUGGCAGAGGGGGGUAGAAUUCCACGUGUAGCAGUGAAAUGCGUAGAGAUGUGGAGGAAUACCGAUGGCGAAGGCAGCCCCCUGGGCCAAGAUUGACGCUCAUGCACGAAAGCGUGGGGAGCAAACAGG